GAUGAACGCUAGCUACAGGCUUAACACAUGCAAGUCGAGGGGCAGCAUGAUUGAAGCUUGCUUCAAUCGAUUGCGACCGGCGCACGGGUGAGUAACACGUAUCCAACCUUCCGAUAACUCGGGGAUAGCCUUUCGAAAGAAAGAUUAAUACCCGAUAGUAUAGUAUUUCCGCAUGGUUUCACUAUUAAAGAACUUCGGUUAUCGAUGGGGAUGCGUUCCAUUAGAUAGUUGGCGGGGUAACGGCCCACCAAGUCAACGAUGAAUAGGGGUUCUGAGAGGAAGGUCCCCCACAUUGGAACUGAGACACGGUCCAAACUCGUACGGGAGGCAGCAGUGAGGAAUAUUGGUCAAUGGACGAGAGUCUGAACCAGCCAAGUAGCGUGAAGGAUGACUGCCCUAUGGGUUGUAAACUUCUUUUAUACGGGAAUAAAGUGGAGUAUGCAUACUCCUUUGUAUGUACCGUAUGAAUAAGGAACGGCUAACUCCGUG
rnacentral:rRNA from 1 species